CUACGGGGUGCUGCAGUGGGGAAUUUUGCGCAAUGGGGGAAACCCUGACGCAGCAAUACCGCGUGAGUGAAGAAGGCCUUUGGGUCGUAAAGCUCUUUUCUUGGGGAAGAUAGUGACGGUACCCAAGGAAUAAGCACCGGCUAACUCCGUGCCAGCAGCCGCGGUAAUACGGAGGGUGCAAGCGUUGUUCGGAUUUACUGGGCGUAAAGGGCACGUAGGCGGCACAGCAAGUUAAGGGUGAAAUCCCGGGGCUCAACUCCGGAACUGCUCUUAAAACUGCUGAGCUAGAGAUAGUCAGAGGCGGGUGGAAUUCCAGGUGGAGAGGUGAAAUUCGUAGAUAUCUGGAGGAACACCGGUGGCGAAGGCGGCCCGCUGGGGCUAUUCUGACGCUAAGGUGCGAAAGCGUGGGGAGCAAACGGGAUUAGAUACCCGAGUAGUC
rnacentral:rRNA from 1 species